UACGUAGGUGGCAAGCGUUAUCCGGAUUUAUUGGGUGUAAAGGGCGUGUAGGCGGGAAAGCAAGUCAGAUGUGAAAACUAUGGGCUCAACCCAUAGCCUGCAUUUGAAACUGUUUUUCUUGAGUGCUGGAGAGGCAAUCGGAAUUCCGUGUGUAGCGGUGAAAUGCGUAGAUAUCGGAAGGAACGCCGGUGGCGAAAGCGAUCCGCUGGCCCUCUUCUGACGCUGAGGCGCGAAAGCCAGGGGAGCAAACGGG
rnacentral:rRNA from 1 species